AGAGUUUGAUCAUAGCUCAGGAUGAACGCUAGCGGUGCGCCUAACACAUGCAAGUCGAGCGGGAUUAUUUGUGACACAGAGUCCAUGAACAGUGGAUUGUGUGUCACAGGUAAUUUAGCGGCAAACGGGUGCGUAACACGUUGAUACUUCCCCCCAAGUCAGGGAUAGCCUCGAGAAAUCGAGAUUAAUACCGGAUAGUCCCGUAAGGGUAAAGGAGCAAUUCGCUCUGGGAAAGGUCUGCGGCCUAUCAGCUAGUUGGCGGGGUAAUAGCCCACCAAGGCAAUGACGGGUAGCUGGUCUGAGAGGACGGCCAGCCACAAUGGAACUGAGACACGGUCCAUACUCCUACGGGAGGCAGCAGUGGGGAAUUUUGCGCAAUGGGGGAAACCCUGACGCAGCGAUGCCGCGUGGAGGACGAAGGUCUUCGGAUUGUAAACUCCUUUUGUCGGUGAAAAACAUUCGCGUGAAUAACGUGAACUGAUUGUAUCCGGCGAAUAAGCCACGGCUAACUUCGUGCCAGCAGCCGCGGUAAGACGAAGGUGGCGAGCGUUACUCGGAUUUACUAGGCGUAAAGCGUGGGCAGGCGGCUCGAUUAGUCUCUUGUGAAAGCCUUGGGCUUAACCCAGGGAGGCCAAGAGAUACUAUCGGGCUUGGAUGUGGGAGAGGAGACUGGAAUUCCCGGUGUAGCGGUGAAAUGCGUUGAUAUCGGGAGGAACACCAAUGGCGAAAGCAAGUCUCUGGACCACCAUCGACGCUCAUCCACGAAAGCUGGGGGAUCAAACAGGAUUAGAUACCCUGGUAGUCCCAGCCGUAAACGAUGCUCAUUAGGUAUGGGGGGUAUCGACCCCUCCCGUGCCGACGCUAACGCAUUAAAUGAGCCGCCUGGGGAGUACGGCCGCAAGGUUGAAAC
rnacentral:rRNA from 1 species